AGUAAGGAAAAAAUUAAAAAUAAAAUAAAAUAAAAAUGAAUGCAGGCAUGCCCAUGCACACAUCCCACAGCCUCUGCAUACAGUGCAGCUAUCAGCUGUUACAGGGCUCAGCCACAACUGGCUCUGCUCUUUUCUGACUCAGAGCAGCAUAAAUGACUUCCUGCACUCUACUGAAAUGAGUUCUCUCUCUGCCCACCCAGUACUCUGCAGCCUGAGAACCUACUUCCUCUAAAGAAGUUGACUCACUGCUUUCCUUUUACUAAAAGAUUUCUUGAUCCAAUUUCAGAGGAAAAGAUAACUAAGCUCUUUGGCAACUGCAGCAGUCUAUAACGUUUGGGGGUCAAUGGGAUCUCAGUGAUCAACUGAGAAAGAAGUAACACAUUGUUAGCAUUGUGCUUUUUAUUUCUUAGCCUGAGGUAUCUAGUAGGAAUAUUAUCACCCUGUUACAGGGUAGUCCAUUUAACUUUUUCAGUCUCUCUGUCUCUGUCUCUGUCUGUCUCUAUCUCUGUGUCUGUCUGUCUGUCUCUCUCUCUCUUUCUCUCUCACUCUCACUCUCUUUGUAAAAGUGUGUGUGUGUGUGUGUGUGUGUGUGUGUGUAAGAACUUCUCCAGUACUAGAUUACCCUCUAGAACUUACCAUCUUAGUAUCCUAAAAGGUGCCAGAGUUCAGACAUCCAGACAAUAAAAAAAGAGUCUCACUUGUGUCAGUUAAACCGUAUUGCUGGCGAUACCUGAGUCAGAGAGCAUGGACUAUCUGGGAUUAUGUCGGAGACUUCAUCCCUGCAGAAUAGUUUUCAUAGUGCUAGAAAGUUAAGUGCACUCUAUCAGAGGAGGAAAGGCUUCACAAAUCUUACUCAGCUGUGAAUCUUGUGAGCUACAAUAAUGACUGUCUUUGCACAUUACUUGGGUAUCAUUUGCAAUGACUUUUGUUCAAUAGUGGCAUUACUAUUAUGGGUGUAAACGACAAUUUUCUGAUUGGAUUAAGUCUGGUUCCAUAGGAUAAAAUCCAUACUUGUUACCAUUAUUGGGCUAAGAACCUGUGGAUAGUCACAUCCUAAGCCCAAGGGGGAACCUAUUACUAUAAAUAGACUCCUAGUAGCUUGUUAUUUUAAUAGAUUAAUGCAUCUUUCAUUCCUCAUCAGCAAAGCUUCUAUUUGCAUUAGAUGGUGAUUAACACAGAUACUCCACUGGCCUAGGUGCAGAGGAUAAGACACUUUGAAAAGUUCAGCCCUAAAUGGAGAAUGCACACCACACUUCCUCCUCCUAAGACUUUUGGAAGAGGGGCUGGAAAGAGUCUAGGGGUGCUGCAUGACUAUUAUGAGAAAAGAUUAACUUCUGGACACAGUAGGGAACUUGCACGUAUAAAUUCAUACUGACUGUCAUAAGAUGGAGAAGACUUUCACAAGCUCAAGCAGCCUAAUUCCCAGUAUGGUAUGGGGAGUCGGGAUGGAUUUAGGCACAUAGGAAUUUAUGGAUGUCAGAAGAGGACCUCUGAUCCUCAGUAAUUGGAGUUACAGGUGGCUAAGAACAGGCUAAGAAGCUAUUAGUGACUGAUAAGUAGAGAGGGGAACAUUCAGUGUUCCCCAAUAGUGCAGCCCCUGAUGAGUUGACCGUGCUCCAGUGGUUCAUGUCUAAGAACAGUUGAUAAGCAAAAGUUGGAAUUGAGGAAAUGAAACAAAUAAGAAUUAAAAAGGAUGUAAGCUUGGGUAGUAGGGAGUAUGAUCAAAAUACAUUGUACAAAUUUCUCAAAGAACUAAUAAUAUAUAUACUUUAAAUGUAUCUUAAAAGUUACAUGAAGUCUAUAUAUUCCAUUUGAGAAGUCCUUUGGUUUCCCCUGUCUAGGUACAAUGCCACCACAUCUUUAAAGAUGGCAUUGAAGACCUAGAAAAAUUUUUGAAAAGUCAUAAGAUCAAAGAAAAUUAAUAUAAAAGCCAAACUUUAAAAUAAAUCAAUAUUUCAACCCUUUUUACAGGUAAGUUAAGCUAUAAUUUCUGGUUUGAAGAAAGAAGUAGUAUUUCAUAUAAGUUCAUAAAACUAUUUCACAAAGCCUGGAAUUUUUUUUUACCUAAUUACAAACUCUAAGAAAGCUGAUGAAUGUCGAUUAACAAUGUGUAAAUUAGUUUUAUCUCUGGGCUCUAUCAACUACUAUACACAAUCUUUUACUAAUUUAGUGUAUUUCAUCCAUUAAAAAAUAAUUUUCUUAAUUAAAAUUAUAAAUUACUAUAUAGCUAAGCCACAGAAACACUAAUGAUAUAAUUUAACACACUUAAAAUCAAAAGUCAAUUUUGAAGGCUGAACAAAUGGAUUAGCAGCUAAGAAUGCUUACUGUUCUUGCAGAAGACAUAGAUUUGGUUUCCAGCAUCCACAUGCCCUGCUCUAACCCCAGUUGCACGGGGAUCAGAAGGCCUCUUUGUAACAUCAUAUGCUCUUGCAUGCAUGUGAUACACACACACACACACACACACACACACACACACACACACACACAAAAUCAAAUAAAUAAGAGUCUAUUUUGGAGGAUGUGUUUAACUUCAUUACACUUGUAAAACUCAAAAAAUAAAAUUGGUAUCUCGAAAAUUAAGUUGUAAUUAUAUAAAAAAGAGUAAUAAGAAAUACCCUUUGGUGAAUAUGGUCAUGUCUGAUACUUUCUGUCUAUGAAUUUAGCUCUAGUUUUAAGUAGGUUGUAUUCAUGUCUCCACAAGUAUAGCCCAACAGCCUUGCUUACAGCAUGUCUUGGGACCAUGGGAAGCCCACAGGGACCACAUUGUAUUCACAGGUGUGCAAGCUGUGACACAUUCUUGACUGAUGAAAGAUGGGCCAGUGGGAAUAUUUCCUCUUCUCAUACCUUACAUGUUGGUCAGUUCUUAUGCACAGCAUGGGUUCACCAUGCAGUCCUACUCCAAGGAGUAUCCAUUGUCCAUAGCAAUAACCAGUUAAUAGUUGUGUUGGCAUUUCUUCCUCCAUGCUGUGACUUUCUCUGUUAGUUAUCUUGGUGUGUGUGUGUGUGUGUGUGUGUGUGUGUGUGUGUGUGUGUUUGCAUGUGUUCUACUAGGAACAGACUACCUACCACAGGCUCUUCAAUUUCUAAAGAAAAUAAUUUCUUCAUUAGUUGUGAGACUAGCAAAUACAACACAAAGUUGUUACCAUCCAGCAAGAACUGCUGAUGAGUGUUAAAUAGGAGCAUUCAUUUUCCACUGCAGAAUAUAUUUAUUGCCCUAGAACAGACUUUAACACCUUACAUAGUCAAGUAUCACCUUGAACUCCUGACCCUUCAGUCUUUAUCUUGGUGUGGGGAUUAUAGGCAUGUGCUACUAAUCUUGGAUACUUUGGUCUUUUAUCACCAAGUUUUGAUGGAGUGGAAGAUGGAUAAAGCACUUUCAUAUUUGAUGUUGUGAGGGGACUUUAUAGUCUACAUUGUAGAAAGGCAUUAACUGACAUAUGUUACCACCUAGCAUAGCACAUACACAUUGCUAAUGGCUUGUUGAGUUAACUCUUUAGCAUGGAGGACUCUGGAGAAAUAUGUAAUUGAUACCAGUGGACAAUGGGCUCAGUUUCUCAAGAAGUGCUUGAGGUGAGACAUUCAGAGAACAGGGAUCAGUUCAAUAGGUAGAAAAAAUGAGAGACGCAGACAUCACACAGCUGAGAAUAUGGCUGAAUGCUUGAGAGCAGAGGGAAGAUGAAGCCUUUGUUCUCCAUCCCAAUGGAAGGGGGCUUCCCAAAGCGAGGGUUAGCCUAUCAUCUUUUCAGGCCAUUGGGUCUCAGAUUGAAGCACAAUGUAAACUUAAUUGUUGCCUUCAAUCAUUAGUAUCAAUGCUGAUCCAGCAAUUAUUACAACAGAAGAUAGCUGAGGGUUGCUAGGAGUAUGGAUGCCUUGAAUUGGGGACUGUGAGGAGCUGUCCGAGGAGCUGUCCUCACAGAGAUGUGAGGAGCUGUCCGAGGAGCUGUCCUCACAUAUGUGAGGAGCUGUCCUCACAAACUCCAUUACAAGAUGGCACCGGCAUCCGGCAGAACGCACCUAGUAAAAAGGGCAAUACGCAGGCGCCUGGUAACGUCCCUACUCAAAGGGACACGUACGUUUUGGUACGUCAUCUGGCAUAAUUGGCAGCGACCAGUCAGAGAGUGACACGUCCUAGGCGAGGAUAGUUUCCUAUAUAAGGGACGGUUAUUCCUCACUCUCCGUCUCCGCAUUGUAAGCUUAUGCUCUCCCUCUCAAGACGCAUUAAAGCUUUUCUGUAGUAGGAUCCUGUGUGUGCCGUGUCGUUCCUGCUGGCGAGACGUAGCGCGGGACAUCUGGUGCCGAAAACCCGGGAAAGACCUCACCAUCGUCAGCACCUUCGGAGAUCCCUUGGCGACAAGGAGGAUUCAGAACUGCAGGACAAUGAAAAUCCCAUAUGGAUCCCAGGACGACUUACUAGGAGCAUCACAGCAAGUGAUCAAGAAGGGACUGGGACUCCUGCACCUCCUCACUCUUCUUCCAUGGAUGCCAGCAACGGUGCAGGGCGAGCUACGAUGGGGAAUAAUGUCAACCUUUCCACUCCCGAUGCCGGUGAUGUACCACUAACAGGGAUUUAGGGUUGGCCUAUUUACCUAAGGAUCCACAGGUUGAACGACUAAAAGAAAAUAGGACUAUUCCCCUUAAGGGCAGCCUUUGUUUUGGCAUAUUCAACAAAACAUCUUUUGAUCUCCCUUGCAUUAUGUUAUAUAAUCAAUCUUCUGCUUGGUUAAGGGAGGCCACAUGGGGAACUGGUGAGGAGGACAUUGUGGCUAACGCCACAGUUCUCUAUGGUGGUGGCCUUACAUUGGGUUAAUGGUAGCUGCACUGAUCUUACGCCCAUAGCGAUGCUACUUGGAGGAAAGGGCGAAAAGGGACGGUUGUCAUUUUCCUGGACGGGGAACAUCAAACCUGCUGCCUCUGUCUGGACAGCUACUCAUAUAAAAUAUCGCAGUAGUUACCCGCAUGCCUCGCUUUAUCCCGAUCCCUGUUGAUGCCCCGGGGACCAUGACCUUAUUUAGAGGAAAAAGAGAUUUUGGUACUUCUGCAAUUAUUGCUGGCAUUAUUGCUACGACAGCAGUCGCUCCCUCGGUUACUGCCUCGGCAUUGGCCUUGUCAAAUUCAGUACAGACAACCCAAACUAUCAACGAUUUAUCGGCCACCAUCUCUGUGGCUCGGGACAGACAGGCCUCAGCCAAUACUCAGAUAUAGGGAGGCCUUAUGCUUGUCAACCAACGUAUAGAUCUGGUCCGAGAGCAAUUAGACAUUCUAUGGCAACUGGCCCAGCUUGGCUGUGAGCAAAAACUCCCAGGCCUUUGUGUCACCUCCAUAUAAUAUGACAAAUUUACCCGAGCUGCUAAUCUGUCUAAGAGUCUUUCACAGCAUCUGUUACAGAAUUGGACCUCGGAGUUUGAACAGACACUUCGGGAGCUGAGAGCGACCAUCAUUCAAAUAAAUUCUACCCGACUGGACCUGUCUUUGACGGAGGGAUUGUCGUCCUGGAUCACCUCAGCAGUCUCUUAUUUCAAGGAAUGGGUGGGAGUGGGACUUUUUGGAGUGAUCCUCUGCUGUGGAUUAGUGUUACUCCUCUGGUUGCUUUGCAAAUUGAGAUCUCAAACAAGAAAGGACAAAGUAGUGAUCGCCCAGGCGCUUGUAGCCCUUGAACAAGGAGCGUCAGCCGAUAUCUGGUUGACCAUGCUCAAGCAACAGGUCGCCGGCUGGACAGCUCUUGCACUCCUAGAACCUCGGUUCAUUGCACAGGAUUAGAGUGUCCGGCUUGAGCAGCCCAUGAGGGGUGACGAGCUUAGCAUCGCACAGGGAAGUUCUACCAAAUAUGCUCCCUGGAAGGCAUGUCAUUUUACAUGAGGGUUUCUGCCCCAGUUUUCCCUCCCUCGAAAAAUGGCAGUGCGACGGGUCGGGAGUGCCCUGGGUCCCAACAACAGCCUAAGGGUAUCUCUCUUGUACAGGUUCGCCAACUUCGUACGAGGAUAUGACCUCUGUCUUCACCCUCCUAUAUCUGGGUGUCCUGUUUGCUUUAAAAAAAAAAAAACAGAAAGGGGGGAGAUGUGAGGAGCUGUCCGAGGAGCUGUCCUCACAGAGAUGUGAGGAGCUGUCCGAGGAGCUGUCCUCACAUAUGUGAGGAGCUGUCCUCACAAACUCCAUUACAAGUUGGCACCGGCAUCCGGCAGAACGCACCUAGUAAAAAGGGCAAUACGCAGGCGCCUGGUAACGUCCCUACUCAAAGGGACACGUACGUUUUGGUACGUCAUCUGGCAUAAUUGGCAGCGACCAGUCAGAGAGUGACACGUCCUAGGCGAGGAUAGUUUCCUAUAUAAGGGACGGUUAUUCCUCACUCUCCGUCUCCGCAUUGUAAGCUUAUGCUCUCCCUCUCAAGACGCAUUAAAGCUUUUCUGUAGUAGGA